UACGUAGGAGGCGAGCGUUAUCCGGAUUCACUGGGCGUAAAGCGGGCGUAGGCGGCCUGUCAAGUCCGAUGUGAAAUCUCCCGGCUCAACUGGGAGGGUGCAUCAGAAACUGAUGGGCUGGAGUGCAGCAGAGGAAGAUGGAAUUCCCGGUGUAGUGGUGAAAUGCGUAGAUAUCGGGAAGAACACUAGUGGCGAAGGCGGUCUUCUGGGCUGUAACUGACGCUGAGGUCCGAAGGCGCGGGGAGCAAACAGG
rnacentral:rRNA from 1 species